rnacentral:sRNA from 1 species
GACAGGAUGUCAGUGGUUCCAUGCAGUAUCGAGUUUUUCAUUAGAAAAACUCGAAGCAAAAAAAUGUACAAGGAUGUACAUUUUUU